GUCUAUGGCCGUACCACCCUGAACACGCCCGAUCUUGUCUGAUCUUGGAAGCUAAGCAGGGUCGGGCCUGGUUAGUACUUGGACGGGAGGAAGUUUUAGGUCUGCGUCUUUGUCU
rnacentral:rRNA from 1 species